AUUGAACGCUGGCGGCAUGCUUUACACAUGCAAGUCGAACGGUAACAGGCCGCAAGGUGCUGACGAGUGGCGAACGGGUGAGUAAUGCAUCGGAACGUGCCCAGUCGUGGGGGAUAACGCAGCGAAAGCUGCGCUAAUACCGCAUACGAUCUAUGGAUGAAAGCGGGGGACCGUAAGGCCUCGCGCGAUUGGAGCGGCCGAUGUCAGAUUAGGUAGUUGGUGGGGUAAAGGCUCACCAAGCCAACGAUCUGUAGCUGGUCUGAGAGGACGACCAGCCACACUGGGACUGAGACACGGCCCAGACUCCUACGGGAGGCAGCAGUGGGGAAUUUUGGACAAUGGGCGCCAGCCUGAACCAGCAAUGCAGCGUCCAGGAAGAAGGCCUUCGGGUUGUAAACUGCUUUUGUACGGAACGAAAUGGCUCUGGUUAAUACCUGGGGCUAAUGACGGUACCGUAAGAAUAAGCACCGGCUAACUACGUGCCAGCAGCCGCCGCAGUAA
rnacentral:rRNA from 1 species